rnacentral:lncRNA from 1 species
GUGGCAUCUUCUUUUCUCUCUUUCCUCACUGUCUGAGGUAAAAGGAAAGAAGGGAAAAACCUGAAGGAGCUAAGUGAUUUACUUUUCCAAUUUGGGAAGCACUAGUGACUGUCUAUUGAUUCAUAGAUUGUUUUUUAAAUCUGAGAAGACCAAAGAAAGACCUGGCCUUUAGUUUGGACUCUGAGUCUGUUAAGGCUCAGAGUCCUAACUUGGUUCUUGCUGAGGCUCAGCCAGCUGGCCUUUGUUAUUUUUAUAACUUGGAGACAAAGUUAAGAAGUAAGGAUAAUAGUGUUUAGUUUACUGUAGAAUGGUGAAAAUUUGGGUUAGUUAGAUCUGGAAGGGUCAAUGUAUCUUGUGUGAACAGGAGAAGGGGUUCCUUGUGGAACCAGGGAGUUUUAUUUGGGUGGAGUUACAAUCCCUUAGAGUUAGAAAUCUUUUUAUGCUUAUAUUCUCGUUAAAUAGUUUAUUUUUAUAUAACAAGAGUCUCCUUAGUGCCCUUGCUCCUGGUUCUGAAGUGAAGUUCACUUAUGAGCUUCACUUCACUGAUAUAAACUGAAAAUACUUUGUAAGUACAACAAGCAGAGUAUCAAAUCAGUUUAUAAUCAAUAAUCAAUUCAUUCUUAUUAUUUUACAGCUUCAACCAGAAGAGAUAGAGAUAUUCAGCAUUACCAGGUCCUAGAGAGAAGCCUGAAGGCUGCACAGCAUGUGGGAACCCAAAGGAGAAGCAAGAUCAGAGAAUGGUAUGCAACAUGAAGCAGCCCAGAUUCAUUCCUUUGAUGAUAUUUUCAACCAUAUGGAUUGUAGGGAUCCAGAAGGAAGCAGGAGAAACUGAGGUCCAGAGAGAGAGGAAGAGAUCUGGAGCAGAGCAAAGAAAGGAUUUCUGGGUACAGAGUGAAUCAGACUCACAGCUGGAACAAUCUCUAGAACAACCUACCUUAAUUUACAGAAGGGGAAAUUGAGGCUGAGAAGGGAAAGAAUUAAAGGUCAUCUCGGUAAGUGGUAGGGCUCGAAUUUGCACCCUGGUCUUCUGACUCUGGGUCCAGUGAUCUUUCUACCAUUCUACACUGUCUCUGACUCAGUGCCUCCUGAGGCCUGAACCUAUGGCUCAGAGUGGGCAGC